rnacentral:rRNA from 1 species
CCUACGGGAGGCAGCAGUGAGGAAUAUUGGUCAAUGGGCGGGAGCCUGAACCAGCCAAGUCGCGUGAGGGACGACGGUCCUAUGGAUUGUAAACCUCUUUUAUAAAGGAAUAAAGUGAGGCACGUGUGCCUUUUUGUAUGUACUUUAUGAAUAAGGAUCGGCUAACUCCGUGCCAGCAGCCGCGGUAAUACGGAGGAUCCGAGCGUUAUCCGGAUUUAUUGGGUUUAAAGGGAGCGUAGAUGGGUUGUUAAGUCAGUUGUGAAAGGUUGCGGCUCAACCGUAAAAUUGCAAUUGAUACUGGCAGUCUUGAGUACAGUUGAGGUAGGCGGAAUUCGUGGUGUAGCGGUGAAAUGCUUAGAUAUCACGAAGAACUCCGAUUGCGAAGGCAGCUUACUAAACUGCCACUGACAUUGAUGCUCGAAAGUGUGGGUAUCAAACAGGAUUAGAUACCCUUGUAGUC